CACCUCUCAGGGUUGCACCUGGAGAGUUUCCAGUAUUGUGCCAGUCUCUACUACAGGAAGGAGAGUCAAGCAGAGGCAUAUUUAUUCCAUUCCUAGCUUGGGCAGUGGCUAGUGAGUGGAAGGCAAUCUGCUACAAGU